rnacentral:rRNA from 1 species
AUCCAUGGCAAGUCGAGCGACAGAUAAGGAGCUUGCUCCUUUGAAGUUAGCGGCGGACGGGUGAGUAACACGUGGGUAACCUACCUAUAAGACUGGGAUAACUUCGGGAAACCGGAGCUAAUACCGGAUAACAUUUAGAACCGCAUGGUUCUAAAGUGAAAGAUGGUUUUGCUAUCACUUAUAGAUGGACCCGCGCCGUAUUAGCUAGUUGGUAAGGUAACGGCUUACCAAGGCGACGAUACGUAGCCGACCUGAGAGGGUGAUCGGCCACACUGGAACUGAGACACGGUCCAGACUCCUACGGGAGGCAGCAGUAGGGAAUCUUCCGCAAUGGGCGAAAGCCUGACGGAGCAACGCCGCGUGAGUGAUGAAGGGUUUCGGCUCGUAAAACUCUGUUAUUAGGGAAGAACAAAUGUGUAAGUAACUGUGCACAUCUUGACGGUACCUAAUCAGAAAGCCACGGCUAACUACGUGCCAGCAGCCGCGGUAAUACGUAGGUGGCAAGCGUUAUCCGGAAUUAUUGGGCGUAAAGCGCGCGUAGGCGGUUUCUUAAGUCUGAUGUGAAAGCCCACGGCUCAACCGUGGAGGGUCAUUGGAAACUGGGAAACUUGAGUGCAGAAGAGGAAAGUGGAAUUCCAUGUGUAGCGGUGAAAUGCGCAGAGAUAUGGAGGAACACCAGUGGCGAAGGCGACUUUCUGGUCUGUAACUGACGCUGAUGUGCGAAAGCGUGGGGAUCAAACAGGAUUAGAUACCCUGGUAGUCCACGCCGUAAACGAUGAGUGCUAAGUGUUAGGGGGGUUUCCGCCCCUUAGUGCUGCAGCUAACGCAUUAAGCACUCCGCCUGGGGAGUACGACCGCAAGGUUGAAACUCAAAGGAAUUGACGGGGACCCGCACAAGCGGUGGAGCAUGUGGUUUAUUCGAAGCAACGCGAAGAACCUUACCAAAUCUUGACAUCCUUUGAAAACUCUAGAGAUAGAGCUUCCCCCUUCGGGGGACAAGUGACAGGUGGUGCAUGGUUGUCGUCAGCUCGUGUCGUGAAAUGGUGGGAUAAGUCCCGCAACGAGCCCAACCGUUAAGCCUUAGUUGCCCAUCAUUAAGUUGGUCACUCUUAGGAUUGACUGCGGUGACGACCGGUAGAAGGGUGGGGAUUGAACGGAUCCU